ACCUUCACGCCCGACACGUUGUACGCCGGAGGGAUUUCCUGCGGAGACCCGAGACAGUAAAGUGAAGAAGACGGCCAUCGAUUCACGCCAACGAUGCACAAAGCUCGAAGGCACAAUUAGGCAUUCGUCCAGGCGGAUGCAUCUUUCAACAGCGAAUCUCCAGCGACCUCACCUCCAUCAGCCACGCUGUCCAGUUUUCUGGUGGUGGUGACCUCGAACGAUGCCGUGGUGAAGAAGACAGGUGCAAUCGAGGGACAGGAGGACGACCUUACCCACCAGGAAGCUCACACAUCCUCUGCUAUGCCUUUAAACAGGAGCCGCAGCUCACCGUAUAACCUCUAUACGACGUCUGUACGAACCUCAGCCAAGUACUCACGCAAGCUCUGGUCGGGCCCGUUGACCACCCACACGCUGGACGAGAAAAGAAGUGCG